GCUCUGGUGGCACAAUGGUUAAAGUACUUGCUGUUAACCAAAAGAAGUGGUUAGAACCCACCCGGAGCU
rnacentral:tRNA from 1 species